CCCACCUUUUGCCUUCUCUGCAAAGCUCUUAGUCCCUAAGACAGGAGCCCAAAUAGAUUUACAUGUUUUAAUUGACUUAGGCUGCACCUGAUACUUGAUCAACCUCCCCACGGUGCUUAAGCUAAGCAUUUGUGCCAAAUUGUUGUCCAUACCCAUGAGGUUCGAGUAGGCAGAUGGAUCCCUUAUAGGAGGGGCUCUGGCCACUCACUUGACCGAAUCAGUAUGUCUAGAGGUGGGGGAGCAUUGGAAACUCAUCUGUUUCAUAGUAGUCCCAAAAAUGACUGAGGCAGUACUUUUGGGAUUAGCCUGGCUUGAUAAGUGGUAGCCCAUGAUCUGGUGGGAAAACCAAGUGAGGACUUUAAGAUUAGCAAUGGGACCUUCACCUCCUACCCCGGUCAGCAGCACAAGUGAAAGCCAGGGCAGUCCCUUGAGACCCUGAAAUCACAAACUUCCUACCUGGGAUGCUGCUCAUCCCAAGCGAAUAUCAAGACUUAGCUGAGGCAUUCAGCGAGACAGAAUGCGACAUCCUGCCUCCCCACAGAACGACUGACUGUGCUAUUAAGAUUUUGCCGGGAGCCAAACUGCCCAAGCCAAAAGUGUACUCAAUGACCCCCCACGAAUUGAGAGAGCUGAGAGAGUACAUUGAUAAGAACUUGGGCAGAGGGUUCAUUCAGCCAAUAAAAUCCCGAGUAGCUGCCCUGUACUUUUUAAAGAGAAGAAAAAUGGGUCGCUGAGGCUCUGCGUUGUUUUUAAAGGGUUAAACACAAUCAGCAUGGAGAAUAUGUAACUCCCUCCCUUUAAUAAAAGACAUGUUAUCCCAUUUGGCAAAAGGCAAGUUUUUUACCAAGUUAGACCUAAGAGAGGCAUACUAUCGAGUGAGAGUCAAAAAGGAGCUGAGUGGAAGACAGCUUUAACAGCCCCCUGGGAAGUUUUCAGUUCAAAGUUAUGCCAUUUAAUCUGCAGGGGGCCCCUGUUGUAUUCAUGCAAUUGAUCAAUCAAGUGCUGCAUGAUCACCUGUACAAGGGGGUUGAUGACAUCCUCAUUUAAACAAAGACCAUGGCAGUGUGUAUUAAAUUAGUGCAUGAAGUAGUAAAAAAAAACUGAUGAACACUAAGCUUUACGCAAAGCUCUCAAAAAUGUUCAUUCCAUUGAAUGUACCUGGACUACCUAGGAUAUAGAAUUUCCAGUGAAGGCAUUGAGAUGGAUCCAGCCAAGGUUAAAGCUCUAACAGAAUAGCAACCCCUAUGGACCCACAAACAACUCCAAAGUUUUUUGGGAUUCACAAAUUUCUACCAGCAAUUCAUCCCCUCUUUUGCUGAGAUCGCUUUGCCAAUUACUGAACUGUUAAAGACUGGGAAAAACAGGGGGAAGCCAUGACCCUGUCAGCCCCUGCCAUGGUCUAUAGAAUGCCAAACUGCUUUUGAGAACUUAAAGAGACUGUUUGCGACAGAGCCUGUUCUCAAACACCCCAACUCUGAGGAAUAAUUCAUUAUCCAAGCCGAUGCUAGCAAUGACGCUGUUGGGGCGGUCCUUUUGCAAAGAAACAAAAAGGGAGACUUGCAACCCUGGGCCUACACCUCCAAAAAAUUAACACACUGAACGAAGGUGGGCUGUUUGGGAGAAGGAAGUUUUGUGGUGAGAUGGGCUCUGCUAACUUGGCAUCAUUUCCUCGAGGGGGGCAAGGUACCUUUUGAAGUAUGGACUGAUCAUAAAAAUUUAAGAGGCACUGAAACCCCACCCCCCGGUAAGUUAUCUCCCAAACAAGUCCACUGGGCACAGUAUUUUAACCAUUUUAAUUUUACACUAAAGUAUAUCCCAGGGGACAAAAAUUUCUUGGCUGAUGCCCUGUCCAGGAUACCUCAGUAUAAGAGUUACCCUGAAGAGAUUGUGAACUCCAUCAUUCCACAACCCUGGGUGGCCAACUGUAGGCAAAGCCACUUGAGCCAGAUAGCCCAUUAAUUAAAAAGCUUAAAGAAGAAUUGAAAACUGACUCCUGGUUUCAGGAAAACAAAACCAUACUAACUUAUCAAAAUGGGCUACCCUGGAAGGGAUCAAAACUGUAUUUACCAGAAACACUUAGAGUUUAAGCCCUUCAGUGCAGCCAUGAUACCAAACAAGCUGGUCACUUUGGAUACCUAAAGACUUUACAUUUGAUUAGGAAGCAGUUUUGGUGACCAGGUUUUAAAAAAGGAUGUUGAAAUCUAUGUGAAAAGCUGUGCAAUGUGUGCAACUAUGAAGAAACAUCCCGGUAAGCCUCCUGGUUUAUUAUAAAUUGCAGACCCUUCCCAACCUUGGGAAGAGAUUGCCAUGGACUUUAUUGUGGAAUUACCAGAAAGUAGGUGAAAUACAGCCUGCUCCGGUCUCUCCUCUACAAAGAAGUUAGCCAGAAUGUUUCUUAAACUUAUAUACUGGCUCCACGGAGCACCAAAACGAAUUAUUUCGGAUAGGGGAGUCCAAUUUACUGUGAGAUUUUGGAGGGACUUCCUUAAACUGAUUGGAUCCAUCCAAGGACUAUCAUCGGCUUUUCAUCUGUCUAUGAAUGGAGUGGCUCAAAAAGCGAACAUGAUGGUGGAAUAAUACAUUAGGUGUUAUGUUGAUUACCAGCAAAUGACCUGGGCUGACCUCCUUUUUGCCAAGGUGGCUUAUAAUAACACAGUACACAACAGCACUGGACUCACCCCCUUUAAAAUAACUACUGGUAGAGAAUUCAUUCCUAUGCCUGAAUACCUGCAGGACUCUCCCGCUUCUCAAACCUUAGAUCAGUGGGUGAUCUCUUGGAAAGCUGAUUGGGACAAUACAAAAAAACUUUAGCAAAAGGCUCAACAAUUUACAAAGAGCAGGCUGACAAAAAAAGGGCUCCUCUGAAGUUGUUUCGAGUUUGUCUGGGGGAGUUUAUCUCUCUACAAAUUUACUCUACAUAUUUAAGACUCAAAUUGCCUAGUAAAAAAUUAGGACCAAAAUUCCUUGGACCUUUCCCCAUAAUUCAAAUUAUAAACCCUGUCAUAGUAGAGUUAAAACUCCCUCCUCUUUUGGGGAAAAUCCACCCUGUUUCUCACUGCAGCUUCUUGAAUCCUUUCAGAGAGUCCUCUUUAAGACCUCCUCCAAGACAGGCAUCUGGUCCCCUUAAAGUGGAGGGAGAGACCCAUUAUGAAAUAAAACGAAUCCUUAACUCUAGGUUAUACAAAAGAAAAUUACAGUAUUUGGUACAGUGGAAAGGUACCCACUGUCAGAGGCCACUUGGGUGAAAAGUACCGAGGUUAAAGCAGAUAGAGCAAUACGUAAAUUUUUCGAUAAGCACCCUCAUAAGCCUCAGGCAGAUUUCUAACUCUAAUUCUUCCUCAUUUUACAGGAUUUAUUUUUCUCUAGAGCAGGCAUGUCAAACUAUUGGGAAUUUUCCCCAUUGCCAGCAAUGGGGUGGGUGCGGUUUCAGCGUGACACAUCUAACCCACGAGCCGGCAGCUUGACAUGCCUGCUCUAGAGGAUCCAACUGUCAAUGCUGCAACUUCGUUUUUGGUUGCCACAGUGGGGAGGGGGGAUGUGUGCUUUUAAGGGUAAACAUAACAAUGAGUUGUCUUGUGGGAACCAAGUUCAUUGCUGCUUGGGUUUUGGUGGGCUGAACUUUCUGUUAGAAAGCCCGCUAAAAUAGUUUAUUGGGGAAUGUGAUUUAUGACAUACUACUUGGGUGGGAAGUUCAACUUUGUAACUUUGUAACAGUUGGGAGGGAAUUUCAGUCUUGGUUUACUUUUGAUUGUGGCGAUACUUUGUAGCCAAUAAAUAUGUUCUUUAAGGAAACCUUUUAUGUUGGAGUUCUGUUUUUCUGGUCUCAUCUUUCGGAACCAUGACAUAUAGCAUGGAUGCAAGUAAGCCUGAUAAUUUACUCCACCUCUUUCUAAUGAAAAGCAUUCUGCAAAAGUAUUAUAUAAAAUAUCACAGGAAUAUCCAUAAGGAAAGAAAUGUAUUUUUCACACUUCAGUUUUGUAUAAAGGAAUAAUCUACAGUUUCAGGAUCUAUACUACCUGAAGAAACUAUUUCAGUGUGAACAUAUUUCAGGAGGCUGUGCUUUCUCUGUUCCUGGCUGCACCCUCGAAAGUUCCUGCUGUCCUCUAAAAAACCUCUAGAUACCCAGCUUUUCAGUUUGUUAUCCCAACCUAUAGAGGAUGAAUAAUUGGCAUUUAAGAGGGUUUUUCAUUAACAUGCAUUACUUCUCUGCGUAAAUAUGUACAUUGUUUGUGUUUUAUAUUAGUUUUGAUGAUAUUUUUAUUCAGCAUACUUCAUUCAGAAAAAAAAUGAACAGGGGUAUAUGUAUUUUUUUCUAUUUAUAAGUGACUGGUGAUUUCUCAAUGCUUCUAUUUCUUUUAAUCUGCCUAACAAAAUAACAAAAAUGAAAUAAUUCCACAAUAGGUUUUGACUGAUGAUGCUAGAAGCCACUAACUUAAAAGGUCUCUAAGAGGUUAUCGUUCCCUAAAUAUCUAUUUACAUCAAUAUUUUCUAAAAGGAUAGACAUAAAAAGUUAAAAUCCCUGGUACAGCCCAUAUCUAGAAGGCAUUAAUUUAGGAAAAAAUCACUUUAAUAGAUAUUCUUGAUAAAUAUGUAUCAAUAUGAUGAAUCUUCAGAGUCUGUUAAGCCUACAAUACAACGGAAACUAAUUCAAUAGAAAAACAGAAACAAUUGAUGGGAAUUAGAAAAAGAUAACAUAAAGGAAGUAAGAUAAACACAUAGGCAAAAAUACCUGGGUCUUAGUGGGAAAAAGAAGAAGACAAAUAUAAAAAAUAGCUGUAAGAGGAAAUGACUAGCCAGGAAAGACAUGUUGAAUUGGAAAACAGGAAAAUAAACUGAAUAAGAUAAGAGGAAAGGCACACUAAAUUGAAAAACAGGAAAGAACCUAUUGCUCUAAAAGCGGGACAUAAAUAUCCAUCGAGUUUAAAAUAACCAUUUAAAUGUCUAAUUUUUCUUAUAAUUGUUGCAUACGUGAAUAUGAUUUAAUAUGUUGUCAGGAAAUGUGUAAAAAGCGGACGGAAAGAGUAUAAUCUCAUAGUACCUCAGCCAAUGGGGAAAGAGGAGGGAUGUAGCGGCCGAGACAGGGCUGUAUAAAGAAGGGAAUAUUUUGGGUUAAAACUUUGAAGAGAACCAAGCUUAUUGCAAUAAACAAAACAAAAGGCCUUCACUAUGUCUUGGCUGGUUAUUGGUCAGGCAAGCUUGUCUCUGGUCACGAAGGAAAGUAGCCAAGAGCACAUAACAUUCUCGAUCCAUGCAGUAAUUGUUGCACUAACCUAACCACUUUAUUGUAACUAUGUAAGAAAUUUUAUGAACUGGAAUAGCCAUAGCAACAAACCAGCCAAUGAGAACUGUUUUUGAUUAAGACACGGUAUUGGCUGUAUGAGGCAUGUGAUCCAGCCUAGGUCUGGGCGUGUCUUAAUCUUCUCUAUGUUUUCUUUUCUGAUGUCCAAGUUAAGAGUUGUUGUUCCCCAGAGCUGAAUGAAACUAACGCAGCCGGAGACCCGCAACCGAAUUGCUUGCAUGGUGAGCAGAGAAACAAAGCUCCGGCCUCUGUUUCUGGGGAUCGCAGCUUCAAGAUUCCCUUUCAAGAGUUAGAAACUGCGCUGACCAGGUCCUGACGGCAUCAAGUGUCCACAAGCUUGCAAUGGCAUCCACCUGAAAAACGCUCUCUACAGCUGGUGGGAGGUGAGCCAAUAUCGAGCAGUCCGGCUGUACCGCAGAGGCUAGUAAUGGCUUCUUUCCACCUGGGGGGAGAUUCCUCCCUCCCGCUCUGAAGCCACGCGGUGCCAAAAAUGGCGACUGGUUCUUUGUUUCCCCUCCGAGGAUCAGCUGGGGCUUGAACAGAACCCUGCGGUCCGCUCCAAUCAGCUGGAAACUGCGGCGAACAAAUGCCUGCUCGUUUCCCACCCCACGCCUUAGGUAAAAGGUAAGAAAAAGUUAAAUACAACCUGAUCUACUGAUCUGUCCUAGAGCCAAGUUUGUGUGUCCUUUCAGGCGAGAGACUAAGUCGAGACUGGGGUCCUACUCCAGGGAGGGAGGCGUGGCAACUUGGCUGACUUAGUCUAUCUGGGCAGAAGAUGAAGCUAACCUAUUAGUGGAUUCUCCACUCGUCAUGCUGGAGAAGCAGCAUAUGACAAUUCUGUGCAUAGCUCCCAGGAUUCAUCCCUUUCAGAGUGGCUACAGGACAGGAGUUUAAUCCAAUGCUCAAACGACCCCUAAAUAACUCUCCGCCACCCUUGUUAAAGAAGUGGGUCUCUCAAUUAUGGAAUAUAUGGCCUGUGGUGAGAAAAUCCCCGGUGGAUGCAUGGGAGGCUUACAAAGCCUAAGCCAACCAGAAGCGAGGGGAACCCAAACCAUUCAGUAUUAGUGAUCGAGUCUAUCUCUCCACUUAUUACCUACAGUCAUUACAACCAUCGAGGAAAUUAGUACCCAAGUUUGUGGCACCCUUCCCCAUCAAACAUAACAUCAAUCCUUUGACUAGAGCUGGAUUUGCCCAAGUCCUUUCAGCGGGUCCAUCCUGUAUUCCAUUGCAGCUUAUUAAAACCUGAAAUUACCUACCCCCUCAGGCCCAGGAACUGCUUCCCAAGCAAUUAAUGGUCAAGGGGGAACAACAGUUUGAGGCCCAAGAGAUUUUAGAUUCACGCAAGCAUAGGGGGAACCUCUAAUAUUUAGUAGCAUGGACGGAUUUCCCAAAGGCUCAGAAUGAGUAGGUGGACCACUGCCAUGUUAGGGCUCCUAGACUUUUAAGGUGCUUUCACAAUCAAUACUUUGAUAAACCCAAAUGAAAUUUCCCGCGUUACCUUUUUCUCUCCCUAUUUAUUUUGUUCUGUUCUACAGGACUAAUGGCAUUAUUCAGGAGGGCAGCAUUACAGGUCCACCAUGGUGUCCUGCCAUUUUGUUGAAGGGGAGGGAGGAAGGCUUGCUGGUAUUUUUGCAUGCUUUCGCUUUUGCUGUAACUGUUGGGAAUUGGGGGGGGGGAUUGUCUUCAGAGACGGAGUAGACUCCUUCCCAGCCAGUUCCAGCCUGGUUCCAAAGACAUCAUGCCCUGAGAGUGACCUCUUAUCUGCCCAGCAUCUCAAUGUUCCCAAAACAACCUUGCAGCAUCACAUUGCUGCUGGUGGACUGGUCAAGAGCGUUGUGUUUGGGGAAACGGAAGAAUGGGUCUGUGCUUUGCACAGGACCUUCAGAUUCUGCCCAACUUUUCUACAACCAUUUAGUAAAAGUUUUUUUGAUUCAA